GUUGGAGUAAAAAGUUUUAUUAGAAUUAAUCUGGACUGAAAUGUGAAGGAACCCACUGCUUUAUUAGUCUGUUAAUAAAAGAAACUGAUUAUCUGUGUGCACUACUAUGAUGUAACAUGCAAACGGAGAUCAAAACUAUCAUGUGGACAAUAAGAAUAAGGUGAGGGUUAUCUGUAAUUUGGUGUACUUUUCCUUCCAUUAGUAGGUUAUAGAUAUUCAUUUCUGUGGUGCUGGUGCAGCCUCUGCAUGCUUUCGGCUACCGUGCUUCUAUUUAUCACAUUUUGUGCAACACAGACAAAUUGUGACCCUCCUAUGCGUCAGGGGGGAGUAUCCAACAAGUGGCAUUUUAACAGCAACAUUGACAACAAUUUCCAAAAUGUACAAUGUACAAAAUUACAAAUAAAUAUGCCUCUUUUUAAAAAAAUCCAUCCCUUCUAGUUUUACAGUAAAAUAGGCUCACAUAGCAUCGUUUAAACAUCAACCUUGGCACUUUCAUGGUCAAGAUCCCUAUCUAUUCCUUGACUUAAAGAGAAACAAUACAUGCAGAAAAAGAAAAAAAAAACAUCAUUAUACGUUGAGUUUGGUCUAAUAAGUUUGCAUCGGACGGAGGCAAGGAUGCUCUCUGCACACAAAGAGCUACUGUCUGAAGAACAAACGCUGCUCAGAAAGACGGUGCAGCCGACAAUUUUCAUUCCAGUUGUGGGGAAGCAGAGCUGGUGGUGCAGAGACUCUCAUGCCGUAGCCCUUCUCCAGCCUCGCUUCUGGCUUCGCUGUCCACUAAUGAUCCUGGAUUUUAUUUCACUGCUCAUUAAAAAAACAUCUUCGCAGCCAGUCUUGCCAUCUGACACCAGUCGGGAGAGACGAUGGUGUCCCCGGGAAUGAAAUUAAGACAGAUUCAAACUGACCUGUGCUCAUCAGACCUGAAAACAAAAGAGAGAGAAAAAUAUUCAGGCAUAAAUGACAGCAAUGUGUCGCAGUCGCAGCUUUGCAGUCAGCAUCAGACCUGACUACAUGUGGCCUGAGCUGGACUCAAACAUGUUUUUGCUAUAAAAACUGCAAAUCAAAUAAAACUCCUGUCGCCUUGUUCACCUUGUGGUGUGCUUUGAAAGGGGGUCAAAGGGCUUUAAUGAAGGCUGUUAAUGUGUGAAGUGUGCAGCUAC
ensembl:lncRNA